rnacentral:rRNA from 1 species
AAAGCUAGCCUGUCCACCUACCUCAAAUUCAACAUUAUUAACUACCUAGCCCAUUAAUUCCUAACUAAAACAUUUUAUCAUUUUAGUAUGGGCGACAGAACAAAAAUUCAGCGCAAUAGACUAUGUACCGCAAGGGAGAGCUGAAAGAGAAAUGAAACAAAUAAUUAAAGUAGUAAAAAGCAGAGAUUAUAUCUCGUACCUUUUGCAUCAUGAUUUAGCUAGAAAAACUAGACAAAGAGAUCUUUAGCCUAUCUUCCCGAAACUAAACGAGCUACUCCGAAGCAGCACAAUUUAGAGCCAACCCGUCUCUGUGGCAAAAGAGUGGGAAGACUUCCGAGUAGCGGUGACAAGCCUAUCGAGUUUAGUGAUAGCUGGUUGUCCAAGAAAAGAACUUCAGUUCUGCAUUAAUUCUUUCAUCACCAAGAAGUCUACCAUAUUAAGGCCAAAUAUAAGAAUUAAUAGUUAUUCAGAAGAGGUACAGCCCUUCUGAACCAAGAUACAACUUUUAAAGGAGGGAAAUGAUCAUAUUUAUUAAGGUUCUCACCUCAGUGGGCCCAAAAGCAGCCACCUGUAAAGUAAGCGUCACAGCUCCAGUUUAACAAAAACCUAUAAUCUAGAUAUUCUUCUCAACGCCCCCUUAUCAAUAUUGGACUAUUUUAUAAAGUUAUAAAAGAACUUAUGCUAAAAUGAGUAAUAGGAGGAUAAACCUCUCCCGACAUAAGUGUACGUCAGAAAGAAUUAAUUCCCUGACAAUUAAACGAAUCCAGACUGAGGUUAUUAUACCCUAUUUUACCUUAACUAGAAAACCCUAUUACAAACAUUCGUUAACCCUACACAGGCAUGUCUUAAGGAAAGA